AAGAGCAGCAGUCAGGGUGAUGUACAGUCUACAGGUGAUACAGUCAGGGUGAUGUACAGUCUACAGGUGAUACAGUCAGGAAGAUGUACAGUCUACAGGUGAUACAGUCAGGGUGAUGUACAGUCUACAGGUGAUACAGUCAGGGUGAUGUACAGUCUACAGGUGAUACAGUCAGGGUGAUGUACAGUCUACAGGUGAUACAGUCAGGGUGAUGUACAGUCUACAGGUGAUACAGUCAGGAAGAUGUACAGUCUACAGGUGAUACAGUCAGGGUGAUGUACAGUCAACAGGUGAUACAGUCAGGGUGAUGUACAGUCUACAGGUGAUACAGUCAGGGUGAUGUACAGUCUACAGGUGAUACAGUCAGGGUGAUGUACAGUCUACAGGUGAUACAGUCAGGGUGAUGUACAGUCUACAGGUGAUACAGUCAGGGUGAUGUACAGUCUACAGGUGAUACAGUCAGGGUGAUGUACAGUCUACAGGUGAUACAGUCAGGAAGAUGUACAGUCUACAUGUGAUACAGUCAGGGUGAUGUACAGUCUACAGGUGAUACAGUCAGGGUGAUGUACAGUCUACAGGUGAUACAGUCAGGGUGAUGUACAGUCUACAGGUGAUACAGUCAGGGUGAUGUACAGUCUACAGGUGAUACAGUCAGGGUGAUGUACAGUCUACAGGUGAUACAGUCAGGGUGAUGUACAGUCUACAGGUGAUACAGUCAGGGUGAUGUACAGUCUACAGGUGAUACAGUCAGGGUGAUGUACAGUCUACAGGUGAUACAGUCAGGGUGAUGUACAGUCUACAGGUGAUACAGUCAGGGUGAUGUACAGUCUACAGGUGAUACAGUCAGGGUGAUGUACAGUCUACAGGUGAUACAGUCAGGAAGAUGUACAGUCUACAGGUGAUACAGUCAGGAAGAUGUACAGUCUACAGGUGAUACAGUCAGGAAGAUGUACAGUCUACAGGUGAUACAGUCAGGGUGAUGUACAGUCUACAGGUGAUACAGUCAGCAGUCAGGGUGAUAUACAGUCUACAGGUGAUACAGUCAGGGUGAUGUACAGUCUACAGGUGAUACAGUCAGGGUGAUGUACAGUCUACAGGUGAUACAGUCAGGAAGAUGUACAGUCUACAGGUGAUACAGUCAGGGUGAUGUACAGUCUACAGGUGAUACAGUCAGGGUGAUGUACAGUCUACAGGUGAUACAGUCAGGAAGAUGUACAGUCUGGAAGAUGUACAGUCUACAGGUGAUACAGUCAGGAAGAUGUACAGUCUACAGGUGAUACAGUCAGCAGUCAGGGUGAUGUACAGUCUACAGGUGAUACAGUCAGGGUGAUGUACAGUCUACAGGUGAUACAGUCAGGGUGAUGUACAGUCUACAGGUGAUACAGUCAGGGUGAUGUACAGUCUACAAGUGAUACAGUCAGGGUGAUGUACAGUCUACAGGUGAUACAGUCAGGAAGAUGUACAGUCUACAGGUGAUACAGUCAGCAGCCAGGGUGAUGUACAGUCUACAGGUGAUACAGUCAGGGUGAUGUACAGUCUACAGGUGAUACAGUCAUGGUGAUGUACAGUCUACAGGUGAUACAGUCAGGGUGAUGUACAGUCUACAGGUGAUACAGUCAGGAAGAUGUACAGUCUACAGGUGAUACAGUCAGGAAGAUGUACAGUCUACAGGUGAUACAGUCAGGGUGAUGUACAGUCUACAGGUGAUACAGUCAGGGUGAUGUACAGUCUACAGGUGAUACAGUCAGGGUGAUGUACAGUCUACAGGUGAUACAGUCAGGAAGAUGUACAGUCUACAGGUGAUACAGUCAGGAAGAUGUACAGUCUACAGGUGAUACAGUCAGGGGGAUGUACAGUCUACAGGUGAUACAGUCAGGGGGAUGUACAGUCUACAGGUGAUACAGUCAGGGGGAUGUACAGUCUACAGGUGAUACAGUCAGGUUGAUGUACAGUCUACAGGUGAUACAGUCAGGGUGAUGUACAGUCUACAGGUGAUACAGUCAGGGUGAUGUACAGUCUACAGGUGAUACAGUCAGGGUGAUGUACAGUCUACAGGUGAUCCAGUCAGCAGUCAGGGUGAUGUACAGUCUACAGGUGAUACAGUCAGGGGGAUGUACAGUCUACAGGUGAUACAGUCAGGGUGAUGUACAGUCUACAGGUGAUACAGUCAGGGUGAUGUACAGUCUACAGGUGAUACAGUCAGGGUGAUGUACAGUCUACAGGUGAUCCAGUCAGCAGUCAGGGUGAUGUACAGUCUACAGGUGAUACAGUCAGGGGGAUGUACAGUCUACAGGUGAUACAGUCAGGGGGAUGUACAGUCUACAGGUGAUACAGUCAGGGUGAUGUACAGUCUACAGGUGAUACAGUCGGGGUGAUGUACAGUCUACAGGUGAUACAGUCAGGGUGAUGUACAGUCUACAGGUGAUACAGUCAGGGUGAUGUACAGUCUACAGGUGAUCCAGUCAGCAGUCAGGGUGAUGUACAGUCUACAGGUGAUACAGUCAGGGGGAUGUACAGUCUACAGGUGAUACAGUCAGGGUGAUGUACAGUCUACAGGUGAUACAGUCAGCAGUCAGGUUGAUGUACAGUCUACAGGUGAUACAGUCAGGGUGAUGUACAGUCUACAGGUGAUCCAGUCAGCAGUCAGGGUGAUGUACAGUCUACAGGUCAGGGGGAUGUACAGUCUACAGGUGAUACAGUCAGGGGGAUGUACAGUCUACAGGUGAUACAGUCAGGGUGAUGUACAGUCUACAGGUGAUACAGUCAGGGGGAUGUACAGUCUACAUGUGAUACAGUCAGGGUGAUGUACAGUCUACAGGUGAUACAGUCAGGGUGAUGUACAGUCUACAGGUGAUACAGUCAGGAAGAUGUACAGUCUACAGGUGAUACAGUCAGGAAGAUGUACAGUCUACAGGUGAUACAGUCAGGAAGAUGUACAGUCUACAGGUGAUACAGUCAGGAAGAUGUACAGUCUACAGGUGAUACAGUCAGGAAGAUGUACAGUCUACAGGUGAUACAGUCAGGGUGAUGUACAGUCUACAGGUGAUACAGUCAGGAAGAUGUACAGUCUACAGGUGAUACAGUCAGGGUGAUGUACAGUCUACAGGUGAUACAGUCAGGGUGAUGUACAGUCUACAGGUGAUACAGUCAGGGUGAUGUACAGUCUACAGGUGAUACAGUCAGGAAGAUGUACAGUCUACAGGUGAUACAGUCAGGAAGAUGUACAGUCUACAGGUGAUACAGUCAGGGUGAUGUACAGUCGACAGGUGAUACAGUCAGGGGGAUGUACAGUCUACAGGUGAUACAGUCAGGGUGAUGUACAGUCUACAGGUGAUACAGUCAGGGUGAUGUACAGUCUACAGGUGAUACAGUCAGCAGUCAGGGUGAUGUACAGUCUACAGGUGAUACAGCCAUGGUGAUGUACAGUCUACAGGUGAUACAGUCAGGGUGAUGUACAGUCUACAGGUGAUACAGUCAGGAAGAUGUACAGUCUACAGGUGAUACAGUCAGGAAGAUGUACAGUCUACAGGUCAGGGGGAUGUACAGUCUACAGGUGAUACAGUCAGGGGGAUGUACAGUCUACAGGUGAUACAGUCAGGGGGAUGUACAGUCUACAGGUGAUACAGUCAGGGGGAUGUACAGUCUACAUGUGAUACAGUCAGGGUGAUGUACAGUCUACAGGUGAUACAGUCAGGGUGAUGUACAGUCUACAGGUGAUACAGUCAGGAAGAUGUACAGUCUACAGGUGAUACAGUCAGGAAGAUGUACAGUCUACAGGUGAUACAGUCAGGAAGAUGUACAGUCUACAGGUGAUACAGUCAGGGUGAUGUACAGUCUACAGGUGAUACAGUCAGCAGUCAGGGUGAUGUACAGUCUACAGGUGAUACAGUCAAGGUGAUGUACAGUCUACAGGUGAUACAGUCAGCAGUCAGGGUGAUAUACAGUCUACAGGUGCUACAGUCAGGGUGAUGUACAGUCUACAGGUGAUACAGUCAGGGUGAUGUACAGUCUACAGGUGAUACAGUCAGGGUGAUGUACAGUCUACAGGUGAUACAGUCAGGAAGAUGUACAGUCUACAGGUGAUACAGUCAGCAGUCAGGGUGAUGUACAGUCUACAGGUGAUACAGUCAGGGGGAUGUACAGUCGACAGGUGAUACAGUCAGGGGGAUGUACAGUCUACAGGUGAUACAGUCAGGGUGAUGUACAGUCUACAGGUGAUACAGUCAGCAGUCAGGGUGAUGUACAGUCUACAGGUGAUACAGCCAUGGUGAUGUACAGUCUACAGGUGAUACAGUCAGGGUGAUGUACAGUCUACAGGUGAUACAGUCAGGGGGAUGUACAGUCUACAGGUGAUACAGUCAGGGGGAUGUACAGUCUACAGGUGAUACAGUCAGGGUGAUGUACAGUCUACAGGUGAUACAGUCAGCAGUCAGGGUGAUGUACAGUCUACAGGUGAUACAGUCAAGGUGAUGUACAGUCUACAGGUCAGGGGGAUGUACAGUCUACAGGUGAUACCAUCAGGGUGAUGUACAGUCUACAGGUGAUACAGUCAGGGGGAUGUACAGUCUACAUGUGAUACAGUCAGGGUGAUGUACAGUCUACAGGUGAUACAGUCAGGGUGAUGUACAGUCUACAGGUGAUACAGUCAGGGUGAUGUACAGUCUACAGGUGAUACAGUCAGGGUGAUGUACAGUCUACAGGUGAUACAGUCAGGGGGAUGUACAGUCUACAGGUGAUACAGUCAGGAAGAUGUACAGUCUACAGGUGAUACAGUCAGGAAGAUGUACAGUCUACAGGUGAUACAGUCAGGAAGAUGUACAGUCUACAGGUGAUACAGUCAGGAAGAUGUACAGUCUACAGGUGAUACAGUCAGGAAGAUGUACAGUCUACAGGUGAUACAGUCAGGGUGAUGUACAGUCUACAGGUGAUACAGUCAGGAAGAUGUACAGUUUACAGGUGAUACAGUCAGGAAGAUGUACAGUCUACAGGUGAUACAGUCAGGGUGAUGUACAGUCGACAGGUGAUACAGUCAGGGUGAUGUACAGUCUACAGGUGAUACAGUCAGGGUGAUGUACAGUCUACAGGUGAUACAGUCAGGGUGAUGUACAGUCUACAGGUGAUACAGUCAGGGUGAUGUACAGUCUACAGGUGAUACAGUCAGGGUGAUGUACAGUCUACAGGUGAUACAGUCAGCAGUCAGGGUGAUGUACAGUCUACAGGUGAUACAGCCAUGGUGAUGUACAGUCUACAGGUGAUACAGUCAGGGUGAUGUACAGUCUACAGGUGAUACAGUCAGGGUGAUGUACAGUCUACAGGUGAUACAGUCAAGGUGAUGUACAGUCUACAGGUGAUACAGUCAGCAGUCAGGGUGAUGUACAGUCUACAGGUGAUACAGUCAAGGUGAUGUACAGUCUACAGGUGAUACAGUCAGCAGUCAGGGUGAUAUACAGUCUACAGGUGCUACAGUCAGGGUGAUGUACAGUCUACAGGUGAUACAGUCAGGGUGAUGUACAGUCUACAGGUGAUACAGUCAGGGUGAUGUACAGUCUACAGGUGAUACAGUCAGGGUGAUGUACAGUCUACAGGUGAUACAGUCAGGAAGAUGUACAGUCUACAGGUGAUACAGUCAGCAGUCAGGGUGAUGUACAGUCUACAGGUGAUACAGUCAGGGGGAUGUACAGUCGACAGGUGAUACAGUCAGGGGGAUGUACAGUCUACAGGUGAUACAGUCAGGGUGAUGUACAGUCUACAGGUGAUACAGUCAGCAGUCAGGGUGAUGUACAGUCUACAGGUGAUACAGUCAGGGUGAUGUACAGUCUACAGGUGAUACAGUCAGGAAGAUGUACAGUCUACAGGUGAUACAGUCAGGGUGAUGUACAGUCUACAGGUGAUACAGUCAGGAAGAUGUACAGUCUACAGGUGAUACAGUCAGGGUGAUGUACAGUCUACAGGUGAUACAGUCAGGAAGAUGUACAGUCUACAGGUGAUACAGUCAGGGUGAUGUACAGUCGACAGGUGAUACAGUCAGGGUGAUGUACAGUCUACAGGUGAUACAGUCAGGGUGAUGUACAGUCUACAGGUGAUACAGUCAGCAGUCAGGGUGAUGUACAGUCUACAGGUGAUACAGUCAGGGUGAUGUACAGUCUACAGGUGAUACAGUCAGGAAGAUGUACAGUCUACAGGUGAUACAGUCAGGGUGAUGUACAGUCUACAGGUGAUACAGUCAGGAAGAUGUACAGUCUACAGGUGAUACAGUCAGGGUGAUGUACAGUCUACAGGUGAUACAGUCAGGAAGAUGUACAGUCUACAGGUGAUACAGUCAGGAAGAUGUACAGUCUACAGGUGAUACAGUCAGGGUGAUGUACAGUCUACAGGUGAUACAGUCAGGGUGAUGUACAGUCUACAGGUGAUACAGUCAGGGUGAUGUACAGUCUACAGGUGAUACAGUCAGCAGUCAGGGUGAUGUACAGUCUACAGGUGAUACAGCCAUGGUGAUGUACAGUCUACAGGUGAUACAGUCAGGGUGAUGUACAGUCUACAGGUGAUACAGUCAGGGGGAUGUACAGUCUACAGGUGAUACAGUCAAGGUGAUGUACAGUCUACAGGUGAUACAGUCAGCAGUCAGGGUGAUAUACAGUCUACAGGUGAUACAGUCAGGGUGAUGUACAGUCUACAGGUGAUACAGUCAGGGUGAUGUACAGUCUACAGGUGAUACAGUCAGGAAGAUGUACAGUCUACAGGUGAUACAGUCAGCAGUCAGGGUGAUGUACAGUCUACAGGUGAUACAGUCAGGGGGAUGUACAGUCGACAGGUGAUACAGUCAGGGGGAUGUACAGUCUACAGGUGAUACAGUCAGGGUGAUGUACAGUCUACAGGUGAUACAGUCAGCAGUCAGGGUGAUGUACAGUCUACAGGUGAUACAGCCAUGGUGAUGUACAGUCUACAGGUGAUACAGUCAGGGUGAUGUACAGUCUACAGGUGAUACAGUCAGGGGGAUGUACAGUCUACAGGUGAUACAGUCAGGGGGAUGUACAGUCUACAGGUGAUACAGUCAGGGGGAUGUACAGUCUACAGGUGAUACAGUCAGGGUGAUGUACAGUCUACAGGUGAUACAGUCAGCAGUCAGGGUGAUGUACAGUCUACAGGUGAUACAGUCAAGGUGAUGUACAGUCUACAGGUGAUACAGUCAGCAGUCAGGGUGAUGUACAGUCUACAGGUGAUACAGUCAGGGGGAUGUACAGUCUACAGGUGAUACAGUCAGGGGGAUGUACAGUCUACAGGUGAUACAGUCAGGGGGAUGUACAGUCUACAGGUGAUACAGUCAGGGUGAUGUACAGUCUACAGGUGAUACAGUCAGCAGUCAGGGUGAUGUACAGUCUACAGGUGAUACAGUCAAGGUGAUGUACAGUCUACAGGUGAUACAGUCAGCAGUCAGGGUGAUAUACAGUCUACAGGUGCUACAGUCAGGGUGAUGUACAGUCUACAGGUGAUACAGUCAGGGUGAUGUACAGUCUACAGGUGAUACAGUCAGGGUGAUGUACAGUCUACAGGUGAUACAGUCAGGGUGAUGUACAGUCUACAGGUGAUACAGUCAGGGUGAUGUACAGUCUACAGGUGAUACAGUCAGGGUGAUGUACAGUCUACAGGUGAUACAGUCAGGGUGAUGUACAGUCUACAGGUGAUACAGUCAGGGUGAUGUACAGUCUACAGGUGAUACAGUCAGGGUGAUGUACAGUUGAAGUCGGAAGUUUACAUACACUUAGGUUGGAGUCAUUAAAACUUGUUUUUCAACUACUCCACAAAUUUCUCGCAAACAAACUAUUGUUUUGCCAAGUCGGAUAGAGAUUAACGUACUUUGGUGUGAAAAGUGCAAAUCAAUCCCAGAAAAACCUUGUGAAGAUGCUUGAGGAAACAGGUACAGAAGUAUCUAUAUCCGCAGUAAAACAAGUCCUAUAUUGACAUAACCUGAAAGGCCGCUCAGCAAGGAAGAAGCCACUGCUCCAAAACCGCCAUAAAAAAGCCAGACUACGGUUUGCAACUGCACAUGGGGACAGAGAUCAUACUUUUUGGAGAAAUGUCCUCUGGUCUGAUGAAACAAAAAUAGAACCGUUUGGCCAUAAUGACCAUCGUCAUGUUUGGAGAAAAAGGGGGAGUCUUGCAAGCCGAAGAACAUCAUCCCAACUGUGAAGCACAGGGGUGGCAGCAUCAUGUUGUGGGGGUGCUUUGCUGCAGGAGGGACUGGUGCACUUCACAAAAUAGAUGGCAUCAUGAGGCAGGAAAACUAUGUGGAUAUGUUGAAGCAACAUCUCAAGAUGUUAGUCGGGAAGUUAAAGCUUGGUCGCAAAUGGGUCUUCCAAAUGGACAAUGACCCCAAGCAUACUUCCCAAGUUGUGGCAAAAUGUCUUAAGGACAACAAAGUCAAGGUAUUUAAGUGGCCAUCACAAAGGCCUGACCUCAAUCCCAUAGAAAAUGUGUGGGCAGAACUGAAAAAGCAUGUGCGAGCAAGGAGGCCUACAAACAUGACUCAGUUACACCAGCUCUGUCAGGAGGAAUGGGCCUUGUGGACCUUGUGGAAGGCUACCCAAAAGUUUGACCCAAGUCAAACAAUUUAAAAGCUCUAGUCGGCUGGCCCUUGCUACAUAUUCGUCGCCAGACCCACUGGCUCCAGGUCAUCUACAAGGCCAUGCUAGGUAAAGCUCCGCCUUAUCUCAGUUCACUGGUCACGAUGGCAACACCCAUCCGUAGCACGCGCUCCAGCAGGUGUAUCUCACUGAUCAUCCCUAAAGCCAACACCUCAUUCGGCCGCCUUUCGUUCCAGUACUCUGCUGCCUGUGACUGGAACGAAUUGCAAAAAUCACUGAAGUUGGAGACUUUUAUCUCCCUCACCAACUUCAAACAUCAGCUAUCUGAGCAGCUAACCGAUCGCUGCAGCUGUACAUAGUCUAUUGGUAAAUAGCCCACCCAUUUUCACCUACCUCAUCUCCAGUUUUUAUUUAUUUAAUUUUCUGCUCUUUUGCACACCAAUAUCUCUACCUGUACAUGAUCAUCUGAUCAUUUAUCACUCCAGUGUUAAUCUGCAAUAUUGUAAUUAUUCGCCUACCUCCUCAUGCCUUUUGCACACAUUGUAUAUAGACUCCCCUUUUUUCUACUGUGUUAUUGACUUGUUAAUUGUUUACUCCAUGUGUAACUCUGUGUUGUCUGUUCACACUGCUAUGCUUUAUCUUGGCCAGGUCGCAGUUGCAAAUGAGAACUUGUUCUCAACUAGCCUACCUGGUUAAAUAAAAGGUGAAAUAAAAAAAUAAAAUAAAAUAAAAAAAUGCUACCAAAUACUAAUUGAGUGUAUGUAAACUUCUGUCCCACUGGGAAUGUGAUGAAAGAAAUUAAAGCUGAAAUAAAAUCAUUCUCUCUAUUAUUCUGACAUUUCACAUUCUCAAAAUAAAUGGUGAUCCUAACUGACCUAAGACAGGGAAUUUUUACUAGGAUUAAAUGUCAGGAAUUGUGAAAAACUGAGUUUAAAUGUAUUUGGCUAAGGUGUAUGUAAACUUCCGACUUCAACUGUACAGGCUACGGGUGAUGCAGCUAGGGUGAUGCUCAUUCUAAGGGUGAUACAGUCAGCGUGAUGUACAGUCUACAGGUGAUACAAUCAGGGUGAUGUACAGUCUAUGGGUGAUACAGUCAGGGUGAUGUGCAGUCUACAUGUGAUACAGUCAGGGUGAUGUGCAGUCUACACGUGAUACAGUCAGGGUGAUGACCAGUCUACACGUGAUACAGUCAGGGUGAUGACCAGUCUACGAGCGACACAGUCAGGGUGAUGACCAGUCUACGAGCGACACAGUCAGGGUGGUGUACAGUCUAUGGGUGAUACAGCAAAAGCUAUAGAAGAAGAGACUGUAGGUAGGGUAGAUAAGUGGGGUCAGAAGUAUAAAGACAAGGGAUACGUCCAAAAUGGCACCCUAUUCCCUAUAUAGUGUAUAUAAAAAAAAUACCAAGGUCUAUAGGGCUCUGUUCAAAUGUAGUCCGCUAUAUAGGGAAUAGGGUCCCAUUUGGGACACAGACAUGGUGUAAUAAAAAGAGGACUGCAUCUGACCUUAUCCGACAGCCCUGUCUCACACACACUGGGCUGGAUUGGACAAAAAAAUGACAUCUUGACAAAGGAAAAUGGGAGAAAACUCCCAAAAGAUCACUCGGGUUCAGAAUGCUAUGGCUGCUAUAGGGUGAGAUACAAUUUAAAAAAUCAACAAUAUUAGGAAACAUAAAAUGUAAAAAUGUAGUUAUUUAAGCUGUGUAAAUAUGUAGAUUUAUGAUGAGAUUCUACUCUCAUAGUGUACAUGUAAGCCUAUGUGACCGUUCCUUGAACUGGUACUGGGCCUAGACAUUUAGGGUGCAAUCUGCACUAGUGCCCACUCAGAAAACACUGUCCCCUCUGGGCCACCAAGGCUGCAAAGACAACAGGACUUUGAAUAGCCAAACAUUGGUUAAGCAAACAACACCAUGAAGGCUGCAUGUUUCACUAUCAGUCAUUAACCACUCCUGUCCAAAUAUGUUUCUAUCUCAGUAGUUAAAAAUCAAAUAUCUCAAUAGCCCAUCUCAUCAAAACACAAACAGAACAAUGACACGUGCCAAACUAAACAAGAGAAUGAUCAAAAGUACAUCUUGUAGUGUUUGCUUACAAUCAAACAGAACAGUUAACUCUGCAUCUCUACAGUAUUAGGAUGCUUGGUGAGACAGGAGCAUAGCCUGGUAGACCAGACUGAAUGCUGCACUCACAAUGGUUGAAUCUGGUUUAACCAGGCUAGAGCCAGCAAGCUCUCUGACCAACUAUAGGAGAACGAUCAAAAUGAAUUAUCAAAAAGUACAUUUUGUAUUACAGCUUGCUGAUCAAACAAGGUUUCCUCUUUCCAUCUAUAGCCUAAGGAUGAUAAAGCAUGGUGAGCCAGAGGGCUCUCAGAACAGCUGUAGGAGAUAUAGGAGCAGCAUGGCGGUGAGAUCAACAGAAGAGAGAAGAGACAGAGGAACUUAAUGAGGUAACAGUCAGAGUAGUCCACUCAGACUGCAGCCUCAAAGGAGGCAAGGACCAUAAUGAUCAUAUCUAUAUUAUAUGGCAGGGACUGAACUGUCAGAGGGAAUGACAUUUAGAGCAGCAGGAAGGAAAAAUAAAGAGUUUAAAAAGUAUGGAUCACAGCCAGAUGUGGGAGAGGGAAGGCAAAUCUCAGAAAUCUGAGUGCACACACACAUAUAGACACACACACAGUGAACGCACAGACAGACACACACACAGGUGAAGUGAAGCAUUGUAGUUUGAGAAUAGGGUUUUUGGCAGUAUGUUCAGCUCCAUGGCGCUGAAGCUAACAGCUGUAGUAAAAUAAAAUAGCAACCUUUUCAUUUCACUUGGAAGUAUGGUGUCAUGAUUUGAAGAAUGCCAACAUAUUUAACUAGAUUACUGAGGUAUUGACGUCUUUGUCCUCUCUCUGUUUCCCUCUCUGUCCUCCAUUAGGCCUAGUCUGUGACCCAAAUGGCAUUCUACUCCCUUAAUAGUGCAGUACUUUUGACCAGUGACCAUAGAGCACUAUAUAGGGAAAAGGGUGCCAUUUGGGACACGCCUAUUCAACCAUUCUGUCAUGCGGAAAAUGUAAUCUCAAGGAGGUAAGUGGUCCGCUUAACAUUUAAAAAACAUAACAUCAACUGCAAUUUAAUGAAUUUCUCUACUAGAGUGAGAAUCUCCAUGAGGCAGUAUCUGGUUAUUACCGUGACGACGCAUGAACCCAACAAACAGUAUGCUGUCAUCUGAAGAUAAGAAGCAGCAAACUCAUCAACAAAUAUGUUUGUUGUGGACCAGGCUGAAAAAAGGAUAUAGCCAAUGAGUGCAUGUAUGUAAUGGCAAUCAUUCUGUGGUCUGUGGCCCAAUGCCCUAACUAACACACACACACAGCAAAAACG